rnacentral:rRNA from 1 species
AGAGAAUAGAUACCCGGGUAGUCCAUGCUGUAAACGAUGGAUGCUAGCUGUGAUGCGUAUCGACCCGCGUCGUAGCGAAGCUAACGCGUUAAGCAUCCCGCCUGUGGAGUACGGCCGCAAGGCUAAAACAUAAAGGAAUUGACGGGGACCCGCACAAGCGGUGGAGCGUGUUGUUUAAUUCGAUGGUAAGCGAAGAACCUUACCCAGGUUUGACAUCCUUGGAAGUUCUGCGAAAGCAGAGUGUGCCUUCGGGAACCAAGUGACAGGUGAUGCAUGGCCGUCUUCAGCUCGUGUCGUGAGACGUUAGGUUAAGUCCUUCAACGAGCGCAACCCUUAUAGUUAGUUGUAUUUUUCUAGCUAGACUGCCCUGGUAACAGGGAGGAAGGAGGGGACGAUGUCAGGUCAGUAUCUCCCUUAUAUCUGGGGCUACAAACACGCUACAAUGGCCGGUACAAAGGGAAGCCAACCCGCGAGGGGAGCAAAUCCCAUCAAAGCCGGUCUCAGUUCGGAUUGUAGGCUGAAACUCGCCUGC